rnacentral:rRNA from 1 species
UGGUCUUGACAUAGAAAGAACUUUCCAGAGAUGGAUUGGUGCCUGCUUGCAGGAGCUUUCAUACAGGUGCUGCACGGCUGUCGUCAGCUCGUGUCGUGAGAUGUUGGGUUAAGUCCCGCAACGAGCGCAACCCUCGUCCUUAGUUGCCAGCAGGUUAAGCUGGGCACUUUAAGGAGACUGCCUUCGCAAGGAGGAGGAAGGUGAGGACGACGUCAAGUCAUCAUGGCCCUUAUGGCUAGGGCUACACACGUGCUACAAUGGGGCGUACAGAGAGUUGCGAUACCGCGAGGUGGAGCCAAUCUCAUAAAGCGUCUCUCAGUUCGGAUUGGAGUCUGCAACUCGACUCCAUGAAGCUGGAAUCACUAGUAAUCGUAGAUCAGCAAUGCUACGGCGAAUACGUUCCCGGGUCU